CUUGGUCGAGGAGUCACUGUUCUUUCUGAACCUGGGGCAGAGUGGCAGGGGCAGUGAUUGAAAUGUCACUAUCAACCCCAGCAAAGGGUGGAUGCUGGACUGGAGUUAGGGAGUGGAAAACGGCACAGUGCCCUUCAGGAGUCUGUAAGGGCAGUGGGGAGCUUAUGCUUCAAGUGAUGAAGAGGAGAAGACAAGGAACCAAACUGGGCUCAAGGUGCUGAAACUAUAACAUCAUUAUGUAAAAAGGCUGCCAUUAUUGCUCUUGACAACUUAUGCCACUUCCAGUGGCCUUGCAGGAAUGGGAUAAAGGGCAGACAUUUUAAGGACAGAUAUUUUCAAUGAAAGCAAAGACAAAGAAGAAUGUGUCCAGGAAGCCUAUCUGGAAGGGACACCACACUGUGGGUUUGAGGUGGCCAAGAAGGCACCUGGAUGACAUCGGUGUCAGAUGGAAAGAGACGGUGAUGCCUUCUAGGACUCUGCUGCUUUCCAGCUCUAUUGAAGCACCAGAUGCAGUGGUUCAUUGAAAUUCAGUAAUGGGUUAAACCUCGAGGAGACAACAGCUUGUACUGCUUUGCUUUCCUCUCCACUGUGGCUGUUUGGUGGAGACACAGGGAGUGGGGGCAAUGAAGGUGAUGGAGGAAAAUGUUUCUCUUCUCUGAAGCAUCAGAACAGCUCCCUUAAUGGCCUCUUAUGUCUGAGUCCCAAGGUUUUCGUUCAAAAUGAUAAUAAAAGGACACCUCAAACCUACAGGGAAAACCCACUCACAUAGAGCAGCUUCGAGCCAAGCCUCUGGAGUCACCAAGCUGAAAAGAACCUGAUUAAUGACAGCACCUGAGAUAAGUGGCACUUUAACCAACCUUAACUGUUGAUGUAUGAUGACAUAAUGUCCCCUCCAAUUAAUGACAAGGAUAUAAAACACCUGUAUUUAGCAGAGCAGAUGCUGCUUUUAUGGUUAGAUGCGCAGAUGAAAUUGACUUCUAAAGGACCAUCUAUAACUUACUUCCCUAUUAUUUGUUUCUAUAUUUGUUUCAUUAUGUAUGUUGUAGGUGCAGGAGGAAAUUUAACCCUGGAUUUCACACCUGCACAGCCAAAAGUCAGAUGUUGGAUGAGACAUGAGAACCUGGGAGAGUCUGCGGAGCUGGGAACAGAGCAACCAUGGUGGAAUAGAGGCAAAGGAAAUGAACAAGGUCUUCAAUUCCCUGUGUCGCUCCUUGCUGUGUCCCCUGGACCCUAAGGGGACUUCUUUUUUUAAUUCUGGAUCACUUUAGGAUGUUUCCUCAUACUUACUGUGUUGUGUUCACGAUUUGCCCAAGUGUAUAUAACAAUGUUUUAUUCUGGACAGCACUCAGAGUGACCUUUCUUUUUGUAACUUUCUAUCUCUUUAUUGCUUUGUGAUACAGUUUUGAAAAAUCCUUGGCUCUGUUUUCCAUGUACUAAAUGUGUUAGAUCCUACUGCUAUGAAGAAAUACCUGAGACUGGGUAACUUAUAAAGAAAAGAGGUUUAAUUGUCCCCCAUUUCCACUGGCUAUACAGGAAGCAUGAUGCUGGCAUCUGCUUGACUUCUGGAGAGGCCUCAGGAAACUUACAAUAUGCUGGAAGGCAAAGCGGGAGCACACACAUCACAUGGCCAGAGCAGGAGCAAGAGAGAGAUGGUGAAAGCGCCACACACUUUUAAACAACCAGAUCUUGCAAGAACUCACCCACUAUCAUGAGAACAGCACAAAGAGGAUGGUGCUGAACCAUUCAUGAGUUAAACCAUCAUUUAAUAUCUGCAUGAUCUAAUCACCUCCCUCCAGGUCUCACCUCCAACAUUGGGGAUUGCAAUUCCACAUGAGAUUUGGGUGGGGACACAGAUCCAAACCAUAUCACUAAUGAAGACAUUCACUCCUUGACCUUGCUACUUUGCCAUUCUCUCUCAUCCUAUUACAUCCCAGAGAUGUUCUCACUUUCCUCCCUCUUUGCUUUGGUUCAAGUUGACCUCUUGCAAAUAUUUUUCCUUGUCCCAUUUCUCACUUUGUCAUAUUUCAUUGGCAAACUCCAAUUCUCAUGAAAUUCAAUUACCAACCUACUCUGUCCCUGCACCCAAACAACUGAAAAUUGUUGGGAAAAAAGAAAACACACUUGUGCUGCCAGUUCUUAUUUAAAAUUCCAUACCACAGACCUCCAAUGGGCACUCAACCAGAAUUUCUAUGAUGCUUCCCUGAUGUGGUUGCUGUACCAUGUUCUAAAACAACCGCUCCACAUUUUCCCCUCUCUCUGCAGACUGCCUUGCCUCCAACUCUGCCUCUCCAUCACCUGUGACUUCAGCACUUACUUUAUUCAGAAAGUCAAAUCAAGCAACAGGUAACUAACCUACAUAUCUACCAGCAUCUAUUCCUGAGCGUCGUCCCUUGGCUGUCUUUCCUGCUUCGGUAGAUAUAUGAAUGAGUCCUUGUGCCAGUGCUACUGCUACGUGUCUCUGUUGUCCUUCCCAACAAAUUUUUCCUGUGGUCGUUGUCGCAGUGAGCUCUCUUCUCCUUCUCUCCCAUUAGCUCCCUUCCUCACUGCUCUCCAUUAAAUGCUGUUGUCAAUAUGCCCAAUAACUUUAAUAUUGUGUAAUCCAGCUGUCCUCCUUUUGUCUUUAUCUUAAGUGACAUUUCAACCACAUUUGAAAAAAGUGACCACUUCUUCCUUCUUGAACAUAUGAUUUUUUUCCCUCUUAGAGACACUCUGCAUGCUGAUUUUCCAACUACCUCUCUGGCUGCUUCUUCUCCAGCUAACUCCUUCUCCUCUGUAGGACUCUGAAUAUUGAAGUCUAGGGUUCAGUACUGGUUUCUCCUCUUUUCUCAGAACACUCUCCUUCUAAAUAAUUUCUUCCAGUCCUCAAUGCUUUAAAUACCAUGUAUGUAUGAAUCAUGUACAUGCACACACACACACGCACACGCACACACACACGCACACACACACACACAGCCAUAUACAUACAUAUCCAUUUCUGGCCCCUUUUCUGAUUUCCAGAGUUGAAUAUCCAACUGGUUACUAAAUCUCUUCAUUCAAACAUUGGUUAGGCAGCUGAAAUUUAACAUAUUUGGAACAGAACCCUUACUUCUCCUGCCUAAGCUUGAUGUUCUCUUAGACAUUAGCAUUUCACGAAAGAGAACCACCAUUAACCUAGUUUCUCAUGCCCAAAGUGGAAAAAUACUUCUUAUAACUUUUCUUUCCUUUCUUGCCUACACCUAACUCAUCAUCAAGUCCUGUUGAAUCUAUCUUGAAAACACAACCUAACUCUGUUUCUUUCACUCCAUCUCCACUGCGUUCACAUUAUACCAGUGAUUCUCAACCCUGGCAAGCAAGCUUUUAAAAUUUGUUUAGGCCUUACCUCAAAACAAUUAAAUUACAACCUCUAAGACAGGGACAGAGCCUUAUUUAGGUUUUCUUUCCUUUUUUAAAGUUAUCUAGGUGGUCCUUGUAUGCAUCUAAGCUGGAAAGCAUUGCCUUCCUCCAAGCCACUAUCAUGCCUGUAUCAGUUUGUGUUCACACUGCUAUAAAGAACUACCCUGAGACUGGGUCAUUUAUAAAGAGAAGAGGUUUACAAGCACCACAUGUUCUCCCUCAUAAGUGGGAGUUGAACAAUGAGAACACGUGGACACAGGGAAAGGAACAACACACACCAGGGCCUGUUGGGAGAUGGGGGGGGAAGGGGAGAGAACUUAGAGCAGAGACUAACAGUUGCAGCAAAUCACCAUGACACACGUAUACCUGUGUAACAAACUUGCAUGCUCUGCAUAUGUAUCCUGGAAAUUAAAGCAAAAUAAAAAUAAAAAUAAAAAAUAAAUAAA
rnacentral:lncRNA from 1 species